CAAGUACUCCCUCUAUCCCGAAUUACUUGUCACAAGUAUGGAUGUAUCUAGAUGUAUUUUAGUUCUAGAUACAUCCAUUUCUGCGACGAGUAAUUUGGAAUGGAGGGAGUAGUAG
rnacentral:pre_miRNA from 1 species